GAUGAACGCUAGCGGCAGGCCUAAUACAUGCAAGUCGAACAGUGUAGCAAUACACAGUGGCGCACGGGUGCGUAACACGUAUGCAACCUACCUAUCAUUGGGGGAUAGCCUUUGGAAACGGAGAUUAAUACCGCAUAAGACAGUAACAUGGCAUCAUGUAGCUGUUAAAGCUUUGGCGAUGAUAGAUGGGCAUGCGUCCAAUUAGUUAGUUGGUGAGGUAACGGCUCACCAAGACGAUGAUUGGUAGGGGAUCUGAGAGGAUAAUCCCCCACACUGGCACUGGGAUACGGGCCAGACUCCUACGGGAGGCAGCAGUAGGGAAUAUUGGGCAAUGGACGGAAGUCUGACCCAGCCAUGCCGCGUGCAGGAAGAAGGCGUUAUGCGUUGUAAACUGCUUUUUUAUAGGAUGAAGGAGACCUUGCGAGGUUUGGUGACGGUACUAUAAGAAUAAGCACCGGCUAACUCCGUGCCAGCAGCCGCCGUAAUAC
rnacentral:rRNA from 1 species